rnacentral:tRNA from 1 species
GCUCGGGUGGUGGAAUGGUAUACACGAAGGACUUAAAAUCCUUUGCCGCAAGGCUUGCGAGUUCGAGUCUCGCCCCGAGCACCA